UCAGGAUUACUCCAACCCCUGUGACAUACCACUUGUUGCCUCGGCGGAUCAGCCCGCUCCCGGUAAAACGGGACGGCCCGCCAGAGGACCCCUAAACUCUGUUUCUAUAUGUAACUUCUGAGUAAAACCAUAAAUAAAUCAAAACUUUCAACAACGGAUCUCUUGGUUCUGGCAUCGAUGAAGAACGCAGCAAAAUGCGAUAAGUAAUGUGAAUUGCAGAAUUCAGUGAAUCAUCGAAUCUUUGAACGCACAUUGCGCCCGCCAGUAUUCUGGCGGGCAUGCCUGUUCGAGCGUCAUUUCAACCCUCAAGCACAGCUUGGUGUUGGGACCCGCGUUAAUUCGCGUUCCCCAAAUUGAUUGGCGGUCACGUCGAGCUUCCAUAGCGUAGUAGUAAAACCCUCGUUACUGGUAAUCGUCGCGGCCACGCCGUUAAACCCCAACUUCUGAAUGUUGACCUCGGAUCAGGUAGGAAUACCA
rnacentral:rRNA from 1 species